rnacentral:rRNA from 1 species
GCUGGAUGGGGAAGCGGGGGUUGGGUGGGGAGAGCCCGCACUGGCGGAGAAGACGGACGAGGACUGGCGGCCUCGGAGCUACUGGCGGCCCCGGAGGUACCUCGCCGCCGCGUCCAGUUCGACCCUGCCUCCUGCAAGCAUGGCGACUUCUUCGACACCAUCUGGGCGGGCCACGACCUAACCACGCCCAAUCUCUUCAGCAAUGUAGAUGUCGAUCGUAGUUGGAUGUACAAAGAGAGACGAGGGAAGUUGAUCAGUGAUGCUUGGCAACAUGGAGUAGAUAAUUUUCUAGAUCAUGCAUUCUCAUUGCCCGAUGCUGCUGCAGACGGGAAAUCCCAUUGUCCUUGCAGCAAGUGCUUUUGCGGUCAUAAGUGCACAAGGGAUGUCAUGACCACACACUUGUGCAGCAAUGGGUUCAUGUUAGGAUAUGAGAGAUGGACUAGCCACGGGGAGUCUGAUGCACCUGAAAAUGUAGAGCAUGAUAACGUGGGGGAUGGAGAUAGAAUGAAUGACAUGCUAGUUGAUGCAAUUGUUGCUGAAGGAGUUUCUAAAGGUGAUGAGCCAACAAAAGCCGCUAAAAAAUUCUAUGAAAUGUUGAUGGAAGCCGACAAACCUUUGCAUGAG